rnacentral:rRNA from 1 species
UCGAGAAUCAUUCGCAAUGGGCGAAAGCCUGACGAUGCGACGCCGUGUGAGCGAAGAAGGCCUUCGGGUUGUAAAGCUCUUUCGCCUGUGAACAAGAGAGACAGGAUAACACCCUGUGGAUUUGAGGGUAACAGGUAAAGAAGCACCGGCUAACUCCGUGCCAGCAGCUGCGGUAAUACGGAGGGUGCAAGCAUUAAUCGGAAUUAUUGGGCGUAAAGCGUGCGUAGGUGGUGGUUUAAGUCAGAUGUGAAAGCCCUGGGCUCAACCUGGGAACUGCAUUUGAUACUGGAUCACUAGAGUGCGGUAGAGGAUAGUGGAAUUCCCGGUGUAGCGGUGAAAUGCUGAGAUAUCGUCAAGAACACCGAUAGCGGAGGCAGCCCCCCAGGCCGCCACUGACGCUGAGGCACGAAAGUGCGGGGAUCAAACA